UACGACUACAUAUCAGGCAUAUCAAUAAGCGGAGGAAAAGAAACUAACAAGGAUUCCCCUAGUAACGGCGAGUGAAGCGGGAAGAGCUCAAAUUUGAAAUCUUAAAGGGUUUCCCUUUACGAAUUGUAGUUUAAAGAAGUGUUUUCUGUUGGAGUUUCGGUAAAAGUUCUUUGGAAUAGGACAUCAUAGAGGGUGAGAAUCCCGUAUUUGACCGUUACUUUCCAGCUGUGUGAUACACUUUCAAAGAGUCGGAUUGUUUGGGAAUGCAGUCCAAGAUGGGUGGUAAAUUUCAUCUAAAGCUAAAUAUUGGCGAGAGACCGAUAGCGAACAAGUACCGUGAGGGAAAGAUGAAAAGAACUUUGAAAAGAGAGUUAAACAGUACGUGAAAUUGUCAAAAGGGAAGCGUUUGACACCAGUGUUGUUUAGUUGAAAAUCAAUUCAAUAGUUUUUGAUUCUAAGUAGUAUUGACUUCAUCAGCUUGCUGCUUUCUUCUCAGAAAUUAUUGAAUGCACUUUUCAGUUAACAAGUCAACAUCAAUUUCUUUUGUUGUAAAAGGGUAAGAGGAAGGUGGCUUGCGCUUCGGCUCAAGUGUUUAUAGCCUUUUAUCUCUGCAAUCGGAGAGAUUGAGGUCUGCAGCGUAGAUCCUUCGGGGUUAGAUACAUUGGUGCUAAGCUAUAGCCUUGUAUAGACAACUUGUUGACUAUGCUCAGUCAUGUAGCUUACUCGCUGAUGCUAUUUUACCUACGCUUAGGAUGUUGAUCUACAGAGCGAGAGU
rnacentral:rRNA from 1 species